GUCACAAAAAUCAGGGAGUAGUCCAUUGAGGCAGGCAUCAGAAAGACAGAUAUCAUCUUUAAGGUGAGUGCCAGGGGCAGCUUUUUGAAAUCCCUGAACAUUUGAUCCGCCUUGCCCGCCAGGUUUUCUCCCUCAUGGCCUUGUCAUGGGUAGGGUCUAGCCUGUUGGCUCCCGGCAUCUCUCCCUUUUUUUACCUUUUUAAGACAGCCGGAUGGAUCUCAGUCGCAAGCUUCUGAAUGCUGUGCCGGAGAGUUCUGACAAGACCGUAAAGCAAGCAUGGCAAUAAAAACCCUUUCGGGAGAGGCUGAAGAUCCCUGCAGGGAAGCUAGUCCCUGUGCUUGAUGACAGAGUGACUUAACUUGCCCCCAUGUGGGUAUGGAGGCUUGUUGAGUCGCCCGCGCGGGACGUCCUGGUGGUUUCCAUUUGUUCUUCUGGGAUCUCCGUUGCCGGUUGUUUCAGAGUCUGCUGGACCUUCUAGGCCGAGACAGCCGGAUGGAUCUCAGUCGCAAGCUUCUGAAUGCUGUGCCGGAGAGUUCUGACAAGACCGUAAAGCAAGCAUGGCAAUAAAAACCCUUUCGGGAGAGGCUGAAGAUCCCUGCAGGGAAGCUAGUCCCUGUGCUUGAUGACAGAGUGACUUAACUUGCCCCCAUGUGGGUAUGGAGGCUUGUUGAGUCGCCCGCGCGGGACGUCCUGGUGGUUUCCAUUUGUUCUUCUGGGAUCUCCGUUGCCGGUUGUUUCAGAGUCUGCUGGACCUUCUAGGCCGAGGGACGGAACAUAGCUGUUAAGCCGGCUUGAUCAGCAUUAAGGUUACUGAGCACAAAGAGGGCAUGCUGCAAAAUGUGGAGUGGAGAACUAUUUGAACUGCCCUUCCUGUAAUUUAGAGAUUUGUGUUUUGAGUGUCUGAUGUGCCCUUUCUACAAUUGCUUGUCCCUGGGGAUUGUAAGGAAUUCCUAUAGAGUGGGAUAUACCGAAUUGGGCACAGU